rnacentral:lncRNA from 1 species
GGGUGGGGAGGUGGCAGUGGAAACAAAUGAGUGGCCAAUCAGGCUUUCCAGGAACGUCUCAUCAUGACACACUGCUCUCUGCCAACUGCCGGAGCUGAGCGGAAUAAAGAUGAGUGUGUGAGGACCCUAUUGAGGGGGCACAAUGAUAGUACCCUGCCUAAUCUCGGCCAAGGGAUCGAGAGUCAGAGGGACAUUUUGUCCAUGUGAAUGUCUCUUUGCUGAGUGACAGGUUAUUGAUCAGCAUGAGAUGGGAGAACCAAACAGCAAACGGUAACACAGAAAGCAAAAGGCCCUUCAAGAAACAGAAAAGGAAAAGUCCUGUUGUCAAGACCUCCAAGGACAAGAACCAGUGAAGCCUGGUAACAAACACAUUAUGCUUUGAAGAUCUGCCAGUUAACAGCUGUGUGGUCUCUCUCCGAUUAACAUCUCUCAGCCCUAUUUUCACCUUUAUGAGAUGGGGAUUAUAAUACCACAUCCCUUGUAGGGCCAUUGUGAGGAUUGAAUGAGCUAAUGCAGGCCCACGUGCCCACCUCAUGGUAAGAACUUCAGAGACAUUAGCCAUUACUAUUCCAACUGAUCACACACACUCAGUGCCACCAAGGAUGAUGCCACUGCAGUGUCUCCCUAUCUCCCUACCUUAGGUUUCACGUUUUGGCGAGCAAAUGCAGCAGGAAUAAAUUUUCAGUGGCCUGGGAGCCACAGCUAUACCCUUUUGCCAUAAGAAACUCCCAAACUCUCUCUCUCUCUUUC